GAUGAACGCUGGCGGCGUGCCUAAUACAUGCAAGUCGAGCGAACAGACGAGGAGCUUGCUCCUCUGACGUUAGCGGCGGACGGGUGAGUAACACGUGGAUAACCUACCUAUAAGACUGGGAUAACUUCGGGAAACCGGAGCUAAUACCGGAUAAUAUAUUGAACCGCAUGGUUCAAUAGUGAAAGACGGUUUUGCUGUCACGUAUAGAUGGAUCCGCGCCGCAUUAGCUAGUUGGUAAGGUAACGGCUUACCAAGGCGACGAUGCGUAGCCGACCUGAGAGGGUGAUCGGCCACACUGGAACUGAGACACGGUCCAGGCUCCUACGGGAGGCAGCAGUAGGGAAUCUUCCGCAAAGGGCGAAAGCCUGACGGAGCAACGCCGCGUGAGUGAUGAAGGUCUUCGGAUCGUAAAACUCUGUUAUUAGGGAAGAACAAAUGUGUAAGUAACUAUGCACGUCUUGACGGUACCUAAUCAGAAAGCCACGGCUAACUACGUG
rnacentral:rRNA from 1 species